rnacentral:lncRNA from 1 species
AAAACACGGCACUUUAUCAGCCUACUAAAAGAAAAAUUAUAUCUAUUCCAGAUUAAAUCAGGACAGAGGGUUACAGAAAAGAGAAUUCAAAGCAUAGGGUUGUGUACUCGAGAGUAUGAAGAGCUGAAUUCCAAGUGAUUAACAGAGGACUGUCAGGGAGUGGACAACUCUGCAUGGUCUGGAGAAGAUCAGUGAAGUGCAGGCAAUGUGCCAGGCAGGCAUGAAAACCUCAGUGUCUGAGGCAUGGAGAAAAAGGGCAUGUGGUACGUCUCAUCUGGAGGAAAGUCAAUUUCACUCUUCUAAUAUCUCACGGUUGGCUGAUGUGAGAAGGAUACCAACUUAA